GUGCAACUAAGUUGCUCCAAAGCUGUGUCUGACACUUCUUUACUUUUACCUAGAGUUGUUCCGAUUCCGAAACCAUAUCGUGAGCAAUGGACAUACGACAAUUCUUUAAAAGAAAAAAGACAGAUUCAGAAUCUGUAAAUGGUCUCAUGGUCUCAUUUUUGUGACAUGACAAACUGACCUCAACUCUCCUGCCUACAAUAUAUUUGUGUAUGAUUGUCAGUGCCAAGGGAAAGAGAGGGAGAUGGAGAAAGAGAAAGGGAAAGGGAAAGCAUGCAGGAAGAACCAGUUAUUGCAACUGCUGUCUGGACUGUCAAUGCUCCUUGGCCAGUGGUCUGUUCAUCGGGACUAUUGGAUUUUUUGCUCUGGAUUAUUAUCUAGUUUUGUGGAUCUCUUUGAAUCUGCCUGGAUUAUCAUCUUUAAUGACCAUCGCCUGUUUCUGACUACCGCU
ensembl:lncRNA